rnacentral:sRNA from 1 species
UUAAAUACUAUAAUUUCCGGGCGAGCGA